CUAGAGCAUGUCAGAGGCAGGCGGAAUUCCCGGAGUAGCAGUGAAAUGCGUAGAUAUCGGGAAGAACACCGGUGGCGAAGGCGGCCUGCUGGGACAGUGCUGACGCUGAGGCACGAAAGCGUGGGGAGCGAACGGGAUUAGAUACCCCGGUAGUCCACGCCGUAAACGAUGGAUACUAGAUGUUGGACACGCUGAAGUGUUCAGUGUCGAAACAAAUGCGAUAAGUAUCCCGCCUGGGGAGUACGACUGCAAGGUUUAAACUCAAAGGAAUUGACGGGGGCCCGCACAAGCGGUGGAGCAUGUGGUUUAAUUCGAUGCAACGCGAAGAACCUUACCCGGAUUUGACAUCCUUCGGACCGUCUCUGGAGACAGAGACUUUCUCUUCGGAGACCGAAGUGACAGGUGCUGCAUGGCUGUCGUCAGCUCGUGUUGUGAAAUGUUGGGUUAAGUCCCGCAACGAGCGCAACCCUUGUUCUUAGUUGCCAGCAUUAAGAUGGGCACUCUAAGAAGACUGCCGAGGUUAACUCGGAGGAAGGUGGGGAUGACGUCAAGUCCUCAUGGCCCUUAUGUCCGGGGCUACACACGUGCUACAAUGGUAUAGACAGAGGGAAGCUACGCCGCAAGGCCACGCGGAUCCUCAAACUGUAUCACAGUUCGGAUCGGGGUCUGCAACUCGACCUCGUGAAGGUGGAAUCGCUAGUAAUCGCGGAUCAGCAUGCCGCGGUGAAUAAGUUCCCGGGCCUUGUACACACCGCCCGUCACACCAUGGAAGUGUCUUC
rnacentral:rRNA from 1 species